GACGAACGCUGGCGGCGUGCUUAACACAUGCAAGUCGAACGGAAAGGCCCUGCUUUUGUGGGGUGCUCGAGUGGCGAACAGGUGAGUAACACGUGAGUAACCUGCCCUUGACUUUGGGAUAACUUCAGGAAACUGGGGCUAAUACCGGAUAGGAGCUCCUGCUGCAUGGUGGGGGUUGGAAAGUUUCGGCGGUUGGGGAUGGACUCGCGGCUUAUCAGCUUGUUGGUGGGGUAGUGGCUUACCAAGGCUUUGACGGGUAGCCGGCCUGAGAGGGUGACCGGCCACAUUGGGACUGAGAUACGGCCCAGACUCCUACGGGAGGCAGCAGUGGGGAAUAUUGCACAAUGGGCGGAAGCCUGAUGCAGCAACGCCGCGUGCGGGAUGACGGCCUUCGGGUUGUAAACCGCUUUCGCCUGUGACGAAGCGUGAGUGACGGUAAUGGGUAAAGAAGCACCGGCUAACUACGUG
rnacentral:rRNA from 1 species